GGGGACAUAGUCUAGUUUGGUAGGAUUCUUGCUUUGGGAGCAUGCGACGGGGGUUCAAAUCCUCCUGUCCCCA
rnacentral:tRNA from 1 species